rnacentral:rRNA from 1 species
GAUGAACGCUAGCUACAGGCUUAACACCUGCAAGUCGAGGGACCGGCGCACGGGUGAGUAACACGUAUCCAACCUGCCCUUUACUCGGGGAUAGCCUUUCGAAAGAAAGAUUAAUACCCUAAAUAAAGUAUGGGGAUGCGUUCCAUUAGGUUGUUGGUGAGGUAACGGCUCACCAAUCCGUCGAUGGCUAGGGGUUCUGAGAGGAAGGUCCCCCACAUUGGAACUGAGACACGGUACAAACUCUGACGUGAGGGAGAAGUGAGGAAUAUUGGUGAAUGGGCUCUAGCCUGAACCAGCCAAGUAGCGUGAAUGACGAAGGCUUAUGGGUCGUAAACUUCUUUUAUAUAAGAAUAUGUAUUAUAUGAAUAAGUAUCGGCUAACUCCGUGCCAGCAGCCGCGGUAAUAC